rnacentral:lncRNA from 1 species
AUUAUUUAUAAAAAAAUAAUUUAUUUAUAUAGAAAAGUAUAUGGAUUGAUCGGUCAAUGAAAGAGUUGACGGACUUUCGCAUCAUAUCUUCCCACCGUAGAACGGGUUUAGAAAAAGUAAAAGGUUUGCUUCACCCAGCUGCGUCUCGUAAGGCCCCGCGGCGGCCCUAGAUCUCGCCUCCGUAUUGUAUGCACCAGGU